rnacentral:rRNA from 1 species
UACGAAGGGGGCUAGCGUUGCUCGGAAUCACUGGGCGUAAAGCGCACGUAGGCGGAUUGUUAAGUCAGGGGUGAAAUCCUGGAGCUCAACUCCAGAACUGCCUUUGAUACUGGCGAUCUCGAGUUCGGGAGAGGUGAGUGGAACUGCGAGUGUAGAGGUGAAAUUCGUAGAUAUUCGCAAGAACACUAGUGGCGAAGGCGGCUCACUGGCCCGAUACUGACGCUGAGGUGCGAAAGCGUGGGGAGCAAACAGG